rnacentral:rRNA from 1 species
CAAUAGCGUAUAUUAAAGUUGUUGCAGUUAAAAAGCUCGUAGUUGGAUUUCUGGUGGGAGCGAUCGGUCUGGCGCUUAGCGCGAGUACUUGCAUCGUCUCCGGCCAUCCUUGGGGAGAGUCUGUCUGGCAUUAAGUUGUCGGGCAGAGGAUCCUCAUCGUUUACUGUGAAAAAAUUAGAGUGUUCAAAGCAGGCUUAUGCCGUUGAAUAUAUUAGCAUGGAAUAAUAAGAUAGGACUUUGGCACUAUUUUGUUGGUUUGCGCACCAAAGUAAUGAUUAAUAGGGACAGUUGGGGGUAUUCGUAUUCCGUUGUCAGAGGUGAAAUUCUUGGAUUUACGGAAGACGAACUACUGCGAAAGCAUUUACCAAGGAUGUUUUCAUUAA